GAUGAACGCUAGCGGCAGGCUUAACACAUGCAAGUCGAGGGGUAUAGUUCUUCGGAACUAGAGACCGGCGCACGGGUGCGUAACGCGUAUGCAAUCUACCUUUCACAAAGGGAUAGCCCAGAGAAAUUUGGAUUAAUACCUCAUAGUAUAGUACUUUGGCAUCAAGGAACUAUUAAAGUCACAACGGCAAAGAUGAGCAUGCGUCCAUUAGCUAGUUGGUAAGGUAACGGCUUACCAAGGCUACGAUGGGUAGGGUCCUGAGAGGGAGAUCCCCCANACUGGUACUGAGACACGGACCAGACUCCUACGGAGCAGCAGUGAGG
rnacentral:rRNA from 1 species